GUUAUGCGUUCGGAUUCCGUAUUUGAAAAAUAGGCUAAAAGUGAUGUCAAGAACAGCCUUUUUUCCUCAAAUACUGACUUCCAACCAGUCGAAUGAAUUAACUAAUUCAACAUAUGAUGGCAAGGCCCCGGACUGGUAAGAGAGCAAGUCGACAAUCAGAAGCUACAAAUUUACAAGCCCUAACGAAACGGCAAUGUUCCAUGGAUACAGUUGCAGCAGGACAUCAUAGGCAACGUUUUUGAGAGCAGGAGACAGACCAACAUUUUGGAGUUGCAGAUAAGUUGCACCUGUAGGCUAACCUGUAUCGUCAGUCCGGAAGGGUAGUAUAUAGCCAAAUUGUGGAGUUGGAUAGAAUCUUUCAGAAUAACACGGGUCUAUAAAUUAACCAUGGGAAAUAUCCCUGAACACUCUUUUAGAAUCUCAAACGUUAUCACGUGAACGGGGUUCAUGAAUAAAGAUAAACCUCAACUCUGCAGGCUGGACGAUUGGAAUUAGUUUUUAGUUUUUCAACUUCGUGCAUCUUGGUCUACAAGUGGGCAUCCAACAUUCCAAUCCAAUGUGAUAAAAAAAUUAAUCAUUUUUAAGGAAGGUGGUGAUGACCAUACACUUGAGUUGGAAAUGGCGUGACAUCCAUGUUUUCCGUGCUGAUGCGAGUUGUUACAUUGGGAUGGUAUUAAAAAGGGAGGCGGACCCUGGCAGUGUACCAACUUCUUUCAGGCUACAGACUAUUUACUACAUUUUCGCAGUCCCUUGCGUCACAACCAAGAAGACGUAUACCAUCAAAAUCAUUCACACAUACCUUAGUAUCAACUUGUGAAACCUGUAUCAUAUAACAUUAUUCUCUUUAUGGUUUUCGUCCACCAAGAAUGGCUGGAGGGGCAAACAGACUGAGCAGCGCAUCUGCAAGAGGAGACUUAGCAGAAGUCGAGAUGUUAUUACAGAACGGAGCAGAUGUUAAUGAAAACAAUGUAUUCGGCAGGACACCGUUACAGGUGAUGAAACUUGGUAACCCCGCCAUCGCCGAAGCGCUGCUGAGGGCGAACGCAAAUCCAAACGUGCGCGACCAUGUCAGAGGUCUCACCAUCACUCAUGACGCUGCAAGGGAUGGCUAUGCAGACACUCUACACGUACUGAUGGAUCAUGGCGCAGACGUCAAUCUCCUGGACAAUGAAGGCAAUCUUCCAUUGCAUCUAGCCGCAAGAGAAGGCUAUCUUGAUGUGGUCCAGCUCCUUGUUGGUUGUACGAUGGAAGCCACGAGGUGCAACUCCAAAGGCCACACACCUUAUGAUCUGGCGACUAUGAACCAUAGAGUAUCCAUUGCGCAAUACAUUCAGGGGCACACUAAUUAAUGAAUAUAUAUCGGACAAUCCUGGCUGGGAUAGCGAGGUGGUAGGCCUGCAUAAGAACGAGGAAGAAAGUAGCAAAAACAUGUAGGUCCAUCUACCUCUCUGGUUACAAUGUAUUUGGAUGUUUUUCAGACAUGAUAGCCUCAAUUCUCAAUCAUAAAGGAGGACCCUAGCAUGAAGGUUUCCUCCAAACUUAAUAAGAAAACAUAGCCUAAUUCCAUAGUUUUUGACUCCAAUUUUCUCCAUCGCAGAACAAAUGUGUCGAGAUUUUUUGCCACUGGAAUGAUCAUUUGAAUCUAUUUAAUAUAUUAAAGCAUUUUUAGGCCGACAACAUUUCCCUAACAACAUCUCCAGCUGCUUUGUUUCUCUUUUUUUUCUCAUGUUUUUCCGAUAUUUCCUAGUAGUACACGUAAGGUGGGGAUUUGUCUUUCAAAUUCAAUUCACUACCAACAUUUUAACUAUUUGAGAUGUGGGUUUGAUACUUCAACGACUAUUUAAAAUUAAAUGAGGAACAAUAUUUUAUUGUUUAACUUCAAGACCAUAGGCUGUAGGUAUUAGAAUAGAUGACCCUCUUCAUCCAUGGUAGCCUACUCUUGUGCGCAUAGCAAAUGUCUUAUUUUGUCCCGAUAGCCCAUUUUGUUAAUUAAACCCAUGCUAUUUUGAGUAAUAACCCAGUGACCUAGGCCUACCUUCAUUCUUCUUGUCCAGACCAUUGGUCAUAAAUUAUCAAUCUAAUGGUAGCCUGACUGUAUCGGCAAUUAUUUUCGAUUUUACGUGCACUUGUAAAUAAUCAAACAAAUAGAUUUUGUAAGGAACUGUGAAAGCACGCGUUUACUAAUAUUCACGUUUUAUUUUUUACCAAAGACAACAACUGUCUGCAGGUCUUACCUGAUUUUCUGUUUGGCUUUUAGAUAGCAAUUUGGUUGAAAUAUAAUGUACGUAGGGCUAUACUACCAGUAUGCCUCGUUUUACUGUAUUAUCUUCUAUUUGAAUAUUGCUAAUCGAUGUUUUUCACUGUUGUUUGAUUUGUGAGACGAAUAAAUUCAUUUGUCCACUGAU